AAAUUGAAGAGUUUGAUCAUGGCUCAGAUUGAACGCUGGCGGCAGGCCUAACACAUGCAAGUCGAACGGUAACAGGAAGCAGCUUGCUGCUUCGCUGACGAGUGGCGGACGGGUGAGUAAUGUCUGGGAAACUGCCUGAUGGAGGGGGAUAACUAUUGGAAACGGUGGCUAAUACCGCAUAACGUCGCAAGACCAAAGAGGGGGACCUUCGGGCCUCUUGCCAUCAGAUGUGCCCAGAUGGGAUUAGCUAGUUGGUGAGGUAACGGCUCACCAAGGCGACGAUCCCUAGCUGGUCUGAGAGGAUGACCAGCCACACUGGAACUGAGACACGGUCCAGACUCCUACGGGAGGCAGCAGUGGGGAAUAUUGCACAAUGGGCGCAAGCCUGAUGCAGCCAUGCCGCGUGUAUGAAGAAGGCCUUCGGGUUGUAAAGUACUUUCAGCGGGGAGGAAGGUGUUG
rnacentral:rRNA from 2 species